AAAAUUCAAAAUAUAUUUUUUUAUUAAUUAUGAUGGGACGAGUAAAUUCAAAUAAUGCAAUUUAAGUUGAGGACAUUUCAUCAGCAAUAUAAGUAGUGGAUUCUAGAAUUUUUUUUCCACAAUAUAUUAGUUAUAUUACUGAUGUGAUGUCUCCAAUUAAUGGAAUUGUCUCUCCUGGAUUCACUUUUUCCAUGAUGAUUAAUAGAAAAAUAUUUGCUACUGAUAAUACGGUGUAAGUGUGACAUUAGGCUUCCUU
rnacentral:lncRNA from 1 species